rnacentral:rRNA from 1 species
AUACGGAGGGGGCAAGCGUUAUUCGGAAUUAUUGGGCGUAAAGCGCGCGUAGGCGGCUUGGUAAGUCGGAUGUGAAAGCCCGAGGCUCAACCUCGAAACGCCACUCGAUACUGCCAUGGCUUGAGUCCGGUAGAGGAGUGCGGAAUUCCUGGUGUAGCGGUGAAAUGCGCAGAUAUCAGGAGGAACACCUGCGGCGAAGGCGGCACUCUGGGCCGGUACUGACGCUGAGGAGCGAAAGCGUGGGGAUCAAACAGGAUUAGAAACCCCAGUAGUCC